UUUCCUACGGGAGGCAGCAGUGGGGAAUUUUACGCAAUGGGCGAAAGCCUGACGUAGCGACACCGCGUGAGCGAAGAAGCCCUUUGGGGUGUAAAGCUCUGUCAGCAGGAACGAAUAAAUGACGGUACCUGCAGAGGAAGCAUCGGCUAACUACGUGCCAGCAGCCGCGGUAAGACGUAGGAUGCAAGCGUUGUCCGGAUUUAUUGGGCGUAAAGAGUUCGUAGGCGGUUCGUUAAGUCUGAUGUUAAAGAUCGGGGCUCAACCCUGGGAGUGCAUUGGAUACUGGCGGACUCGAGUACGGUAGAGGCGAGUGGAAUUCCCAGUGUAGCGGUGAAAUGCGUAGAUAUUGGGAAGAACACCGGUGGCGCAAGCGACUCGCUGGGCCGCAACUGACGCUGAGGAACGAAAGCUAGGGGAGCGAAUGGGAUUAGAUACCCCAGUAGUCCUAGCUGUAAACGAUGGAUACUAGGCGUAUCGGGUAUCGACCCCUGAUGUGCCGCAGCUAACGCGAUAAGUAUCCCGCCUGAGUAGUACGGCCGCAAGGUUGAAACUCAAAGGAAUUGACGGGGGCCCGCACAAGCGGUGGAACAUGUGGUUUAAUUCGAAGCAACGCGAAGAACCUUACCAGGGCUUGACAUCUGGAGAACUUCCCGGAAACGGGAAGGUGCCCGCAAGAGAGCUCCAAGACAGGUGGUGCAUGGCUGUCGUCAGCUCGUGUCGUGAGAUGUUGGGUUAAGUCCCGCAACGAGCGCAACCCCUACCUUUAGUUGCCAGCGCGUCAUGGCGGGGACUCUAAAGGGACUGCCUUCGCAAGAAGUGAGGAAGGCGGGGACGACGUCAAGUCAUCAUGGCCCUUACGCCUAGGGCUACACACGUGCUACAAUGGCCGGUACAGAGGGUCGCCACCUAGUGAUAGGGCGCCAAUCUCAAAAAGCCGGUCUCAGUUCGGAUCGAAGUCUGCAACUCGACUUCGUGAAGCCGGAAUCGCUAGUAAUCGCGCAUCAGCAAUGGCGCGGUGAAUACGUUCCCGGGCCUUGUACACACCGCCA
rnacentral:rRNA from 2 species